GCCGAGGUAGCUCCGUUGGUAGAGCAACGGACUGAAAAUCCGUGCGUCGGCGGCCCGAUUCCGCCCCUCGGCACCA
rnacentral:tRNA from 1 species